rnacentral:lncRNA from 1 species
GCAAAAUGUAUCCAGUUGGUUGCAAAUUUGGGCUGUAAAUGAGGUUUUAGAGGAAACUGAAAAUUCAUAUGUGAUUCAAUGAGCAGUGAAUAUAUGAUACACACAGUAUGCUUAUCUAUGGGGAACCAAGAGCAAAUUGGGUACAAUGAACACGGUCUUGUUAAGUAGAAGUACAGUUUGUCCACCACUGAAAAUAACUGCAAACCGCUCACUUGUUCCUAGGGUGUUUCUAUUUAAGCGUUUGUUUAGUGAUUUGUAAUUUUGCCAGCAACCGUCUUCACGUUUGGGGAUUAUUGGCUGAGCUACACAGUAGCCUUUUAGGUUGGAUUUUCCAACCAACGGGAGGCUUUAUAAGACAUUUCCACUGAAGCUCCUUUGCGAAGUCCUUGUGCCCCAAUAAAUUUUCCCUGUUGACUCUGGUCGCCUCAGAUGCAUAGUGAGAGAUGGAAACACAGCCAAGGUCACAUCAAAUUAAACUUUGCAGUUGAUUUUAUGGAGAACAAUUCUGUCCUAAAGGAAUCUGGAGAGCACACUCUGACCUGGUGGUGCUACUCACCAUGAACAAGAAGCAAGAGUGGGAUGUAGAUGCUGAAUGUGGAGAUGUUGUCAAGCCCAAGACAUGGGCUGUGAAAGGGACCAGGUUGGAGGUGAGAGUGACAACAGGGUACGGAACCUGGUUGGUGCUGACUAUAGUCUCCUUAAUGUGAUAUUCCCAAAUCCUCAGGAAAGUUACUAUAUUCACAGAUUUUUGAAGCGAGUGCAUAUUUUUAGGUGGGUGAUGGGGGACCAGUGUGGAAUGAAACCAAGAUAAUAUAUGCGGAAGAAAAAAGAACAUUGGAAAGGCCUGUGGUAGUAUUCUCCGAAAUUAGAACAAAGAGUUGGGAGAUACUUAACCAUGUGAGUUGGCAAGAAAGAGUUCAAAUUACAUUCAAGUCCAUAUGCUAGAGGUGAGGAAGUCCGAUUUGACUUCUGAGUUAUUUGGUGUGCAGGAUAAGGAGCAAAAAGGGUAUGAAGAUAACUCAGGUUUUGAGAUUAAGUUUCCGGGGCAAAGGUAGUUCAUAUGUUAAUAAAUUAGGAAAAAAGAGAAAAAGGUGUUGGAGCAAGAAGAGGAAUAUAUUCAAUUUGAAGCACUGGCAAAACAUUAAAAGAUGUCCAGGAAUUCCAGUCUGGAACCCCAGUUAGGGGCUGGAAAUAAAAACAUGUACUUGGAAGUAAUUAGCAUGGAGGUGCCAAGUAACAUUGAGUGAAUGAAAGAAGAGCAGAUGGUGAAGGACCGAAUUUUGGAAGUCACCCAACAAAUAUUUAUCAAACAAGUAACAUAUAUCAGGGACUCAUCCCAGUGCCAAAAAUACAGCAGUGAACAAAGUAGAUGAAGUACCCCCUUUUACAUGAGGAAUAUGGCUGGUAUGAAAGUGAGGUGAAGGAGAUAAUCUGAUAAGAGAGAGUGAGAGAAGACAGGAAGUAGACAUUCUUCAUAAGAAGAAAUGGGUACAGAAAAGACACAGAGGGAAAUAGGUAAGGCUUGGAGUCAAGCAGAACAGAGUUAAAUUACAUUUUCCUCACUUUGUAGAAACUCUGAUAGGGAUCAAGUUACUGAACCUCAGUUUUCUCAUGUAUAUAAGGGGAAUUAUGAUUAUUUAUUGUGAGGAUUGAAUAAAUAAAAUAUGUUGAGUGCCUCACUCAUUGUAAAUAGUUCAUUCAUAUUAGUCUUUUUUUUUAAUGGCUUCUUCCCAUCCUCAUUGCUGAGAAACUUGAGAGAGAACAAAUACCUAUACAUCUCUACCAUGAUAGGCAUUGUGCUAGGGGCUCUUGAGGACACGUACCUUGCCUUUAAAAAGGCAGCUAUUGGCAGGGCGCGGUGGCUCACGCCUG